rnacentral:rRNA from 1 species
UACGUAGGGGGCAAGCGUUGUCCGGAAUCAUUGGGCGUAAAGCGCGUGUAGGCGGCUCGAUAAGUCUGCUGUGAAAGUCCAGGGCUCAACCCUGGGAUGCCGGUGGAUACUGUCGAGCUCGAGUCCGGAAGAGGAGUGUGGAAUUCCUGGUGUAGCGGUGAAAUGCGCAGAUAUCAGGAGGAACACCGAUGGCGAAGGCAGCACUCUGGGACGUGACUGACGCUGAGACGCGAAAGCGUGGGGAGCAAACAGG